CGAAUCGUAGAAAGUUCGAAAAAAAAUUCGAACACCCAUUACCAUAGUAGCCUAGUUACCGCGAGUGAUUAUAAACAAUGAAAAAAUGGUUUUGCAUAAACAAGAAAUGGUCUGUCUUAACGCCGAUAAUAAUUCAGCCAUCCCAACCGCAACAGCAGCAAACAACCACAAUUUCAGCGUUCUUCAGUAACAUUUCACAGCAGCACAUUAAGAUUUUCCAUCAUCCGACCGGGAUAUAGCAAAAACUAUGCUUCUGCCACAGAGUUUGAAUCCCGAUCCUGCAGUUCCCGCUCCUAUCUCCGAUGCCUCAAUUUGAUACUAAUCAUCAGAAUGACCGCUUCAACAACAUCGUUGGCUUCAAGUUCUGCAACCUUAUCAACUUCGCGUUUUUCCAAAUAUUGUCGACGUGAUUCAAUCCUCAACUUGGGUAGCAACUUGCUCAUCCACUUCGAGCUUCUCCUCUAAAUCGGACACAAGAUCGCUUUGGAUUUGCAAGAAACAUUUCGUCAACGGAAGAACUGCGAGUCCAUAUGAUUUUGCUGAUGUCGAGUGGGUUCCAAGCCUCUGCUUGGAUACAACUGAAAGUUUCCUAAAUGUAGUAGAUGCAAAAUUUGAAAAUGUAGAUAAUAGUAACUUCCUGCGGCAGAGCCAAUAUAUGGAUAUGGAAAAACCUGUCGUCUAUGUCAAGAGAACAUUGCUCUGAUGUCUGCACUGCAUCCACUUCCAUCACCCUUGUAUAAUCGUCGUUUAAAAUGGCUUAAUAAGGAAAUUGCUGGCAUUCAACUACCUUUCAAGACUGAGUAUACAACAAUUUUGCAUAUGAGCUAUGUCUAACAAAACUAGAAGAGUUUCACACUUGGCGUGAACGUCAACAGAUCAUCGACUCUUUAAUUAGAACGUUUCGGGAGAACGAAAAAGACCGCCGGAAUGUCCCACCAAUACCAAUCGUGUCUAAUCCCAUUGAACGACUAAUGGAAGAUUAUAUGGAGGAGGUUCUCCCGUUAAACUCGUCUAAUGGAGAACGUGGAAUAAAGAUUAAACAUGAAACGAUAUCAACGAUACCUGAACGAGAUGAACAAUUUGAUCAGCUGAAGAAUGAAUUUUUUUCCGCGAUAGAACCUUUUAGUGUAGAAUUGGCUCGAAUUGAUACUGAUGUUUCAGUGGUUUCUCCCACAGAGAUACCUUUGGGUGGAGAAAAAUAGAUUGAUCAGAAAGAUGCUAAAAAAUUAGGAGAUAAAUGGUGGAACUAAAUCCCAAGAAGAGUCGAAGGUAGUUGUGGAGAGCACGAUUUAUGUAUUUAUGGAUUGAUUUUAAAUACGUUUGCAAUACAAAAAAUGUGCGUUCUUAGGAAACUCAUUGCUGAAUACUAAAUCGUAUGCCAUUGUCUCGAAAAUUCUGCAUAGUCCACCGAUAGAAGUUGAUAUCAAUUUCGUAGGAUUCGUUGCGGGUAUCAAUUUUGACGGUUUUCUUGUUUUGUUUCAUUGUUUCAGCAGAUCUACCACCAAGACCUCGGCGUCCUAUCUUGAUUUGACAAUUGAUGGGAUCAACUGUGAGAAACAGUUCCUAGAUCCUAAUGAACCGCCGCUCCAACCAAUCUUCUGAAGCUACUUGAAUCCCAAAUUGCUUUCGUCGAUUUUCUUCUCCUUAAAGUCAUCAACUAUAUGACCCGGCGGUCUACAGUUUCGUCAAUUUCUUUACAUUCGACGCUUUCGUUGUCUAGAUUGACGGAUUGCUUUUUCCGCUGAAAGAAAAACAAACACUGAAAAUUUUUUGAAAAUAAAGUGGUGGACAACAAAAUAUCUUACAACAA